AUGAGUUAUAAAGAUAAAUAAAGUUACGGGAUAAUGAAUAUCCUAUUUGUGUUGUAUAUUCAAAUAGGGUUGACAAUGAUUGAAUUUGAUAUUAUUACGAUCUUAUCCGUUCACGGAUCCAUGAAUCACAAUAUUACACAUUCACACCCUCGCCCACAGUCUGACACACUCUUCCACUCCCUAUAUAAACAGCAUUACCCCCAAACCAUCAAAUCACGCGUCAGUAUCCAAUCUAAAUUCAAAACCAAGUGGUAGCUCAGCUCUGCGGAGAAGAUGAAGCACAGUGGAAAGAAUAGCAAAGGCAAUGGAAAGCAAUCCGAUGUGAGGAAAGAUAGGAAAUCGGGUACGGGAAUGAACGGAUCGCCCAAGAAAGGAGGUCAUGGUGGCAAGUUCACUUGGGUUGGAGAUGGCCUUUCGCCUGCCGAGAUCGGGGUUGAAACAGAGCUUGUCGAUGUCACGGAUCCUAAUUUCGAAGAUCCCUAUGAGAUCCUGGCCGAUUGAUUGGCUUCAUCAUCGCUUUUGCUUCUCUACUUUGGUUGUAAAUAUUUCAGCAACUCAAUGAAUAAAUUGUAAUGCUUGCCAUUUCCUCUACUGCUUAUAUUCUGGCGAUGUUGUCUUAAGCUGAAGGCAAAUGAAAUUGUUCAAAAAUCUUAAAAAAUCCAAGUGAUUUGAAUUGGAUGAUUUAUUACCUGUUUCAUCAAUUCAAUUAAAACUUAGCCAAAAAAACAAACAUAUGCCAGUACAUUCAAGAAAAAAAAACUAAAAAUCUACAAUUCAUCUGUGGGAUGGAAGAUCAAGUUUAAAUGCAUAAUGCAUGGGCAUUAACAACAAUUCUGGAGGAUGGUUACAUUACAUACCUUGUCGGCAUUGUUUUGGGAUUUUGGGUUUCUUGUACACGUUAAUUCAUGGCAGUAUGCUCUUGUAGGAAGUAUGUGUUUCAGUUUCUACACUGCUAGGCCUCUUAUUUAUGUCGCUGCUGGCUACAAUGAAAUCACACUUCGACAUGCAGAGAAUGAGAGCUUCCACCAGGAGAUAAUAUAACAAGCAGAUAGGGACAAGAAGUGCAUUUGAGACGAACAUAACGCUAAUGCCAAAUCAGGUUGAAUGAACUUAUUGAUUUUUGCAUUAGUUGGUCUAUUUGCCUUAAUUCUCGAUGCCAAUGCUAUUCCCAUUUUGUUGUUCCCUUCAUGAAAGCUGUGACUAUAGUAUGAAAUUCUGACAUAGAAAUACCUGAAAUAAGGCUCAGUACUGAUGAUUGAUUUUAAUGUAAUCUGGCAAGGAAGUAAGUGAAUUUUCUAUAAUCUAGAUCUCUCUCAUGUCCCUCACUCUCACUGAAGUAUAUUGCUGUCUCAAGGGUAGGUCCAUCUUGCAGAAUUCAUGUGAGUUUUCCAUCAAGGACUAAGGAGGCAUGCUUGACAGCUCUAGCAACUCUCCAAACUUCAUGUUGUACCACAUGCCAUGAUUCGGCAGUGUUCAGAUUCUUUGCAUUUUCAAUUGCAUCAUCUAUUCCUGGGAAGGAUGUAGAUCCAUAAUCAUUGUGCCUUGAUGGUGCAUAAAUCUGCAUGUCACAAUGUCGGUAUUUAGUCCAUUUAGUAAAAACUAUAAUAAUGAAUAAUAUAUAUCUAGAGGUUUCCAUCUUCGGAUUAUGAUAUCUAA